rnacentral:rRNA from 1 species
AAUGAACGUUGGCGGCGUGGAUUAGGCAUGCAAGUCGCGCGAUAAAUUGCCUUCGGGUGAUGGAAAGCGGCGAAAGGGAGAGUAACACGCGGGUACCUACCCUCAGGACCGGGAUAGCUGCGGGAAACUGCAAUUAAUACCGGAUGAUGUCUCCGGACCAAAGGUGUGAUUCCGCCGGAGGAGGGGCCCACGUCCUAUCAGCUAGUUGGCGAGGUAAUAGCUCACCAAGGCUACGACGGGUACGGGGUGUGAGAGCAUGCCCCCGCUCACUGGGACUGAGACACUGCCCAGACACCUACGGGUGGCAGCCUGAGAGCCAAGGCACACAGGGGAUAGG